rnacentral:rRNA from 1 species
UGGGGAAUAUUGCACAAUGGGCGCAAGCCUGAUGCAGCCAUGCCGCGUGUAUGAAGAAGGCCUUCGGGUUGUAAAGUACUUUCAGCGAGGAGGAAGGCAUUAAGGUUAAUAACCUUGGUGAUUGACGUUACUCGCAGAAGAAGCACCGGCUAACUCCGUGCCAGCAGCCGCGGUAAUACGGAGGGUGCAAGCGUUAAUCGGAAUUACUGGGACGUAAAGCGCACGCAGGCGGUCUGUCAAGUCGGAUGUGAAAUCCCCGGGCUCAACCUGGGAACUGCAUUCGAAACUGGCAGGCUAGAGUCUUGUAGAGGGGGUAGAAUUCCAGGUGUAGCGGUGAAAUUGCGUAGAGAUCUGGAGGAAUACCGGUGGCGAAGGCGCCCCCUGGACAAAGACUGACGCUCAGGUGCGAAAGCGUGGGAGCAAACA